CCUACGGGAGGCUGCAGUGAGGAAUAUUGGUCAAUGGGCGCGAGCCUGAACCAGCCAAGUCGCGUGAGGGAUGAAGGUUCUAUGGAUCGUAAACCUCUUUUAUAAAGGAAUAAAGUCGGGUAUGGAUACCCGUUUGCAUGUACUUUAUGAAUAAGGAUCGGCUAACUCCGUGCCAGCAGCCGCGGUAAUACGGAGGAUCCGAGCGUUAUCCGGAUUUAUUGGGUUUAAAGGGAGCGUAGAUGGAUGUUUAAGUCAGUUGUGAAAGUUUGCGGCUCAACCGUAAAAUUGCAGUUGAUACUGGCGUCCUUGAGUGCGGUUGAGGUGUGCGGAAUUCGUGGUGUAGCGGUGAAAUGCUUAGAUAUCACGAAGAACCCCGAUUGCGAAGGCAGCUUGCUAAACUGUAACUGACGUUCAUGCUCGAAAG
rnacentral:rRNA from 1 species